AACGAACGCUGGCGGCAGGCUUAACACAUGCAAGUCGAGCGAGAUUUUCGGAUCUAGCGGCGGACGGGUGAGUAACGCGUGGGAACGUGCCCUUUGCUACGGAAUAGCCCCGGGAAACUGGGAGUAAUACCGUAUGUGCCCUUCGGGGGAAAGAUUUAUCGGCAAAGGAUCGGCCCGCGUUGGAUUAGGUAGUUGGUGGGGUAAUGGCCUACCAAGCCGACGAUCCAUAGCUGGUUUGAGAGGAUGAUCAGCCACACUGGGACUGAGACACGGCCCAGACUCCUACGGGAGGCAGCAGUGGGGAAUCUUAGGCAAUGGGGGCAACCCUGAUCUAGCCAUGCCGCGUGAGUGAUGAAGGCCUUAGGGUUGUAAACCGCUUUUAGUAGGGAAGAAGCCUUCGGGUGACGGUACCUGCAGAAAAAGGACCGGCUAACUACGUGCCAGCCGCCGCAGUAAAAC
rnacentral:rRNA from 1 species